UUGUCAAGCCCAAUUUCUUUCUUCUCCAAUCCAUAAGCCCAUACCGCCCUAAGCUAAAGACCCCUUCAUCUCCACAUUAAAAGAAAAAAAACCUAGAAGACCUAAAAAAAAGGAGAUCAGCCGCAGAAACAAAAAAAAAGACCACCACCCAUGCCGUUCUUCUUCGUUUCAUAAUCUAAGAACACUUCUGUUCUUCUUCAACACCAACGACACGCCCUCCCUGAACUUCUUCUUCUCCAAGCCUAAAACUCCAAUAAGAUCCCCUGAUCUCUCAGGCACAAACCAACAGAAGCAGCCGUGAUUUCAACCCAAGAACACCCCCUAGACCUUUCUUCCCCAUCUUCACAAAAUCAAAAAAAAAAAAAAAAAAAAAAAAAAAGAACCCUAAAAGAUAUCCAGCCCGUCUUCCUCACCAUAACUCCGGUGACCAAGCGUACACAGCAGCCCCCCGUUGCCGUCUCUCACCAGACCCAACCCAGCUCGCCGGAAAAACGCCAACGACCACCCGCCGGAAACCAGCAACAGUGAUACGCAGCAGAAAUCAACCACCUAUUUUUAAAAACAAACCAAUUAGAUCUGAAAACCAAGAAAAGGUUUCUGAAAAUCUCAAUUUCCAAGAGGUUUUUGAGUCGAAAUUUGCUGCUCGAUUGUUGAGGUUUUCCGGACCCGUGCGAUUUCAGUCGAGGUUUUUCGGUCCGAGUUUCCACACUACAGCUGCUGUAAUUGGAAAAUAUGUCCCCUUUGAGGUGGGCGCAUGAUGCUGACUUAAUAUUUGAAGUAAAUUCCCUUGUUCUCCAGGUGGGCGCCUGCAACUUAAACUUAAAUCCCAUUAUCCUGGAGGGUCCAGAAAACUUGAACUUAAAUCCCAUUAUCCAGGAGGCCCCUGAACUUAAGGAAAGCUAAAAAC